rnacentral:lncRNA from 1 species
CUUUUAAACCAGGAAAAUAGGUAAAGUCUUUGAUAAAAUGAUAUUUAAUCUGAGACAUAUUAGCCAGGGCUCAAAGUCUGAAGUAACAGAAAACUCCAGCUGGCUCAAGAGCAAGGAGUUUAUGCAUCAUUUAACAGAAAAGUCCAUGGUAGAGCUGGCUGACUUCAGAAGCGUGCUGCUCUUUCCCAGUACUUCCCCAGUCCCGGAAUGGGCUUUCAUUGACCUGACUUGACCAGUGUGGUCAGAAGUUGUGAUGUUGCUUGGUUGAGCCUGGAGCUGGCCUGUAAGUUCUUAAGGGCAGUAGUUAGGGGGCAGACAAAAACAUCAAGUGUCCACCAAUUAAGGAUGAGGGAGUGUUAGCACAGUGGGUGGGAAAAAGUAUUCCAGGAUGAGAGCAGCCUGUGUGAGGCCCGGGGGCAGGAAGUACGGAGGAGUGGAAGAGGGUGGUGUGGCUGGAGCACAAGGGGCAGGACGGAGAAGCAAGCUGGGGUCAAAUCAUGUAGGGCCAUGUAAGCCAAAAUAAGGAUCUUGGAUUUCAUUUUAAGAGGCGUGGGAAGACACACUUGAAAGAUCCCAAUAUUUGAAGCUUGACAAGCUGGAAGCAUCAGUUCUAAGAAACAGAAACUAGGAUUACAGGAGGGAGGUGGUAAGGGUUAGGGAAAUAUGACUUGGACAAACUGAGGGGCCACCACUAAACAAAUGGUGCUCCCUUGCAGAUAAUCAGAAAUGCUUAACAGUCUUUAUUGCCCAUCGAUGUGGUUUGGCUGUGUCCUCACCCAAAUGUCACCUGAAUUGUAGCCCCUGUAAUUCCCACGUCGUGGGAGGGAUGCAGUGGGAGGUAACCGAAUCACGGGGGCGGGUCUUUCCUAUGCUGUUCUCAUAAUAGUGAAUAAGUCUCACGAGAUCUGAUGGUUUUAUAAAGGGGAGUUUCCCUGCACAUACCCUCUUGCCUGCCACCAUGUAAGACGUGUCUUUCUUCCCCCUCUGCCUUCUGCCAUGAUUGUGAGGCCUCCCCAGCCAUGUGGAACUGUGAGUCCAUUAAACCUCUUUCCUUUAUAAAUUACCCAGUCUUGGGUAUGUCUUUAUUAGCAGCGUGAGAACAGACUAAUACACUCAUCUUUAAAAAACCUCUUCACUACAUAACCUCUUCUAGCUACUACACCUUCUCUCGCCUCCCUUCUUUAGCAAAACUCCUCAAGAGCUGUCUAAAGCCACUGUUUUACCUCCUCAGCUGUUUUCUCUUCCAUCCACUACAGACUUCUAGUACCAGCACUCCAUCAAAAUUAAUCAAUGUUGUCAAUAACAUCGACUUUGCCAAACCCAACAGUCAGUUCUCAGUCCUCUUUUUAUUUGAAUUCUCAGCAAUAUUCACAG